AGUGAACGCUGGCGGUAGGCCUAACACAUGCAAGUCGAACGGCAGCACAGUAAGAGCUUGCUCUUACGGGUGGCGAGUGGCGGACGGGUGAGGAAUACAUCGGAAUCUACCUUUUCGUGGGGGAUAACGUAGGGAAACUUACGCUAAUACCGCAUACGACCUACGGGUGAAAGCAGAGGAUCUUCGGACCUUGCGCGAUUGAAUGAGCCGAUGUCGGAUUAGCUAGUUGGCGGGGUAAAGGCCCACCAAGGCGACGAUCCGUAGCUGGUCUGAGAGGAUGAUCAGCCACACUGGAACUGAGACACGGUCCAGACUCCUACGGGAGGCAGCAGUGGGGAAUAUUGGACAAUGGGCGCAAGCCUGAUCCAGCCAUACCGCGUGGGUGAAGAAGGCCUUCGGGUUGUAAAGCCCUUUUGUUGGGAAAGAAAAGCAGCAGGUUAAUACCCCGCUGUUCUGACGGUACCCAAAGAAUAAGCACCGGCUAACUUCGUG
rnacentral:rRNA from 1 species